GGCUGUCUGGCUCGGUUGGUUAGAGCCGUGCUAAUAUCAACUCAGGUCUUGGGUUCGACCCCACGAUGGCCU